CACGUAGGGACCGAGCGUUGUCCGGAUUCAUUGGGCGUAAAGAGCUCGUAGGCGGCCGCUCAAGUCGAAUGUGAAAACUCGAGGCUCAACUGCGGGCCUGCAGCCGAUACGGGCAGGCUAGAGUUCGGUAGGGGAGACUGGAAUUCCUGGUGUAGCGGUGGAAUGCGCAGAUAUCAGGAGGAACACCGAUGGCGAAGGCAGCUCGCUGGAACGGUACUGACGCUGAGGCGCGAAAGCGUGGGGAGCGAACAGG
rnacentral:rRNA from 1 species